UGAAAAGUCCGGGGCUCAGAGAGGUUCAGCAAAGUGCUCAAGGUCACACAGCACACUGGGUCCAAAGGACAUCCUCGGACUCCUAGUCCAGAUGGCCACACUCCACAGUUACUACAGAACUUGCUCUAGACAGCAAAGCUGGUCUAGACACUUCAGCCAGCUUGAGCACUCCAAGGGAGCUACCGACCGGCCCUACCCGCCAAAGUCCCUGCCAUGCAAGAGCCACUACAUCCUCCUUCUCUGGAAGACGACUCUGGGAAGGUGCUGUGAGGUCUUUGCCCUCCUUUGCGGAGGUGAAAAAGUACACCUCCCUCAAUCCAAGUACAUAAAUUCACAUGAAGGCGGGCGCGGGUGGGGGUGGGGGAGGUCAGCCAGCCCUGGAUGGGAAUCUCAUGUCCGGAACUUACUGCGUGAACUUAGACAGUUUCUUUGUGCCUCCUCGCUUCUGUAUAUUUCAAAGCCCACCUUGUACAAUGACUGUGACGAUUCCACGGGAUCAAAAUUUAAGCCCCAGAGCCGUUCGGGAUUCCAGGUAGUCUUCAACGGUUUGGUCUUCCUUCGCCGCUUAAGAGAUGAAGUUUUGUGAACGGCCAGCAGGUGGCGGAAUCGGCCAGGGUUCGGGCUGCAGCACCGCUGGCUGGCAAUGUGGGUCUGCAGUUAGGCAUCAAGCUGGUGACCUUGGCACCACUGAGCAGAGCUGGAACUGGAAGGAGCAGCAUGUGGCAGCUGAAAGGGAGGCCCCAGGAAGUCUUGGAAGCAGCCUUAGAGGAGCUGGGGAAAGCUAGCUGGGUGCACAGGGCCAUCUUUGCCUGCCACGAAGGGGAAAGAGCGAUUAGGGAAGGGGAUAGAGAGAACAAUUCAAAGCAAAAAAGAGGGCAAGGGCAUUCUUGGCCAAUACGGCGGUAAACGGUCAUCUGAGACUUAUUCAUCUUCUUAUCUAGCAUCUUUUCACGAUUCGGUAUAAUCCUAUCGGAAUCUGUGUGUUUAAAAAAAAACUUUACAAACACAGAAUGUGACAGCGUUGAGCAGCCAUUGCUCCAUUGCGAUGGAGUUCUGAACUAUGCCUAAAGAUUUGUUUGUUUUUAUU